GCCCCCUUAGCUCAGGGGAUAGAGCAACGGCCUCCGGAGCCGUGUGCGCAGGUUCGAAUCCUGCAGGGGGCA
rfam:Thermomonospora curvata DSM 43183, complete genome.